AUUAUAAUUUAAUUUAUUUAAAAAUAAUUAAUAUAUUUUUAUAGGUUGUAAACAAUUUUUUAAUAUGAGUUUGAUCCUAGCUUAGGAUUAACGCUAAUUAAACGCAUGACACAUGCAAGUUAUAUAUAAAUUAAUAAGUAUGACUAAUUAAUUUAUAUAGCGUCAAGGUGAGUAAUAUAUUAUAUAUACUUAUUACUUAUUGUAAAUCAAUAGUAAUUUAUAUAAAAAUUAAUUAGUAAUAAAUUAUAUAAUAUAAAAUUAAGUAUUGAAUAGUUGUUAACUAUUUAGCUUAUGAUUUUUAGUUAGGUUGAGAGAUUUAUAAACCACAUAAGGGUAUGCAAACAACCCUAUCUAUUCGACAGCAGUGGGGAAUUUUGGACAAUGCAUUUAGAUGUGAUCCAGCGAAUUAAUGGAAAUGAAGAAAAUUUAAAAUUGUAAAGUUUGUGCGUAAGUUUAAAAUAUGUUUGAACUUAAAGAGAAGUCAUGGCCAAUACAUGUGCCAGCAGCCGCGGUAAUACAUGAGUGACUAGCGUUAUCCGUAAUAGCUGAGUGUAUAAAAUGUGUAGACAAUAAUAAAAAAUAAAAUAAAACUUUUAUUGUAUAUAAGUUAUUUAUUUUAUAUUUAUUUAUAAAAAAUUAUAAAAAAAUUUUUAAAAUUUAUAAUUUAGCGAUUAAAUGCAUAGAAUUUAUAUAUAUUUUCAAUAAUGAAAAUCUUAAAUUUUUUAUAAUUUUUGUUGAUACAUUAAAGUAUGGGUAUCUAAUAGGAUUUGGGACCCUAGUAGUCCAUACCUUAAAAUAUGAAUAUUUUAAUUUUUAGAAAUUAUAAGCUAACGCAAGAAUAUUCUACUUGGGGAGUACAAUCGCAAGAUUGAAACUUAACAGAAUUGGCGGGAAUUUGUUCGAACGGUGGAACAUGUGGUUUAAUGCGAUAAUCCACGUAAAAUCUUACCAAUAUUUAAAAUUAAAUAGUAAUAAAUUAAUAAUAUUAUAUAUUAUUUAUAUUUAAUUUCGGUAUUGCAUGGCUGUCGUCAGUUCGUGUUGUGAAAUGUGAAAUUAAGUUUUAUUUACGAACGCAACCUAGAGUAUAUUUUAAACUUUAAGUUUUUAAUAUAUUGUGUAUAUUAUUAUACAAAUGGUUUUAGCUGAAGUCAAGUCCUUAUGGUCUUUAUAUAUUGGGCUACACACGUGUUACAAUGGCAAAAACAAAAAGUAACAAAUACGUAAGUAAGAGUAAAUCUUAAAAAAUUGCCUUGGUUUGGAUUAUUUUAUGUAACUCUAAAAUAUGAAAUUGAAAUCGUUAGUAAUUAUAGGUUAGUAUACUAUAGUGAAUUAUAAGUCAAAUUUUGCACACACUGCCCAUCACGCUCGAAAAAUUUUAUAAAAUUUAAAAUAAAAUAAAAUAAAAAUUAAAAGGUUAAUUUAUUAGUUUUAUUUGUUGUAGUUUUAUAAGGUAAUUUGAGUGAAGUUGACACAAGGUACCAGUAGGGGAACCUGUUGGUGGAUUAUUUU
rnacentral:rRNA from 1 species